rnacentral:rRNA from 1 species
UACGUAGGGGGCUAGCGUUGCUCGGAUUUACUGGGCGUAAAGGGCGCGUAGGCGGCAAUUCAAGUCAUCUGUGAAAUCUCCGGGCUUAACCCGGAACGGUCAGGUGAUACUGUUUUGCUAGAGUGCGGAAGGGGCAAUCGGAAUUCUCGGUGUAGCGGUGAAAUGCGUAGAUAUCGAGAGGAACACCAGUGGCGAAGGCGACUGUCUGGUUGACAACUGACGCUGAGACUCGAAAGCAUGGGGAGCAAACAGG